UACGUAGGGCGCAAGCGUUAUCCGGAAUUAUUGGGCGUAAAGAGCUCGUAGGCGGUUUGUCGCGUCUGCUGUGAAAACCGGAGGCUCAACCUCCGGCCUGCAGUGGGUACGGGCAGACUAGAGUGCGGUAGGGGAGAUUGGAAUUCCUGGUGUAGCGGUGGAAUGCGCAGAUAUCAGGAUGAACACCAAUGGCGAAGGCAGAUCUCUGGGCCGUAACUGACGCUGAGGAGCGAAAUCAUGGGGAGCAAACAGG
rnacentral:rRNA from 1 species